rnacentral:rRNA from 1 species
GAUGAACGCUGGCGGCGUGCCUAAUACAUGCAAGUCGAGCGAAGGGACGAGAAGCUUGCUUCUCUGAUGUUAGCGGCGGACGGGUGAGUAACACGUGGAUAACCUACCUAUAAGACUGGGAUAACUUCGGGAAACCGUAGCUAAUACCGGAUAAUAUUUUGAACCGCAUGGUUCAAAAGUGAAAGACGGUCUUGCUGUCACUUAUAGAUGGAUCCGCGCUGCAUUAGCUAGUUGGUAAGGUAACGGCUUACCAAGGCAACGAUGCAUAGCCGACCUGAGAGGGUGAUCGGCCACACUGGAACUGAGACACGGUCCAGACUCCUACGGGAGGCAGCAGUAGGGAAUCUUCCGCAAUGGGCGAAAGCCUGACGGAGCAACGCCGCGUGAGUGAUGAAGGUCUUCGGAUCGUAAAACUCUGUUAUUAGGGAAGAACAUAUGUGUAAGUAACUGUGCACAUCUUGACGGUACCUAAUCAGAAAGCCACGGCUAACUACGUG